rnacentral:rRNA from 1 species
AUACGGAGGGUCCAAGCGUUAUCCGGAAUCAUUGGGUUUAAAGGGUUCGUAGGCGGGUCAAUAAGUCAGAGGUGGAAUCUUGCAGCUUAACUGUAAAAUUGCCUUUGAAACUGUUGACCUUGAAUUACUGUGAAGUGGUUAGAAUAUGUAGUGUAGCGGUGAAAUGCUUAGAGAUUACAUAGAAUACCGAUUGCGAAGGCAGAUCACUAACAGUAUAUUGACGCUGAUGAACGAAAGCGUGGGUAGCGAACGGGAUUAGAAACCCGGGUAGUCC